UCAACAUUUUUUCCCCCUUUAUUUCAGACAUUAUUUUAAACUAUGCAUUUUUCAUUUGAAAUCAUAUGUGCUUUUCAGUCCUCAUUUGUGAUGCAUCAAGCAGGUUGGUGCAAUCAUAACAAACAUUCAAUCAAUAAAACUAUUAUCUGUUGGUCAGUUUUGGCUUAUGCUACUGUAAAUGUAAUAGUCAUUUAUAUACUCAUCAGUUAUUUAUAUAGUCUAUACUUUACUUUUAUAUACUACUUAUAUUCUAUUAUACAGUACUUUGCAAAACAGUCCAGCUUAGCUUUAAUCUAGGGCUGAAUCAAAUAAUGCUCAAUUCAACAUCAUGUACAGCAGGACGGAUAGAAUAUAGCUGAUGACGGUAACUGUCAGUGAGUUGCUGGACGACGUAGUUGUCCAAAUUGUAGUCUGUCCAACUGUUGUCAUGGUGGCAUUCACUGGCAUUGAGGAAUUCAUCAUUGUGGUCAUAUCGGUCAUGCUGCUUGAAAAUUUUGUUGUUUGAUUCAUGCUGGGCUCUGAAGAUGGAGUUGUCACACGUUCCUGCAAAGUCGUCCCAGUGGCUUGAGUUGUAUUUGAAGUAUUUGUGCUCGUUGUUAUGGGUAAAGUAAUUUCAACUGUUGGAACAGUGACUUGAGCUGUAGUUGUAGUUGAAGUCUUUACAGUUGUUGUAUUUGUACUUGCAACUGAAGUAUUAUCAGUUGUUGCCAAGUCAGUUGUCACAGUCGUUGUCACGUUAGUCUUUUAGGAAACAAUUAAAAAGCUUAAUUAAAUUAAACAAUAAAAAGCUUAUUAUCCACUGCCAAUUUUAAAUGUUAAAAAUAAAGCACAAUGAUGUGUUUGUUCCUCAGAUUUGAUUGGUGUGAAACUUCCCCUUCCCUAUUACUGUUCUCAAUACUGUAUUAUAAUUGUUGUAAAUAAAACUUGGGAAAUCAUGUCCUUAAUAGUUUUUCUUGUCAUCCAGUAAAAACAUCUGAAUAUAUUUGAAACAUGAUACAUUUACUUGAGAAGCAGAACAGAAGUCAUUUUAUUACUCCAUCAACUUACUCCAUUGUUUCAAUCAUAAAUCUCACUACGUUUUGUUAGUUUUUUGCU
ensembl:lncRNA